UACGGAGGGUGCGAGCGUUGUCCGGAAUCACUGGGCGUAGAGGGCGCGUAGGCGGCUCAUGAAGGCUGUGGUGAAAGUCCGGGGCUCAACCUCGGAUCGGCCGUGGCGACUCGUGGGCUGGAGCACUGUAGAGGCGGGUGGAAUUCCGGGUGUAGCGGUGGAAUGCGUAGAGAUCCGGAAGAACACCAGUGGCGAAGGCGGCCCGCUGGGCAGUGGCUGACGCUGAAGCGCGACAGCGUGGGGAGCAAACAGG
rnacentral:rRNA from 1 species